rnacentral:rRNA from 1 species
ACGUAGGAGGCGAGCGUUGUCCGGAUUCAUUGGGCGUAAAGAGCGCGCAGGCGGUUUGGUAAGUCGGAUGUGAAAGCCCGGAGCUCAACUCCGGACCUGCAUCCGAUACUGCCCGACUAGAGGUAGGUAGGGGAGAUCGGAAUUCCUGGUGUAGCGGUGAAAUGCGCAGAUAUCAGGAGGAACACCGGUGGCGAAGGCGGCAUCCUGGACCGACACUGACGCUCAGGUGCGAAAGCGUGGGGAGCAAACAGGA